UUGAUUGAUUGCUCGGUGAGCUCAGACUGCACGGGUUUUUAACACGAGUUUGAAGAGUACUCCGGCAGGCGUGACCGGAACGAAGCCGGCCGGGUACGACCCUGCGAGCGAUGCAAACCGGAAAGAAACCGGGCAUUCAGCUGCAAGGGCGACGCUGACCCGCCAAAGCAACGGUGAGUGUGUACGCAAGGGUUGGAGUGCGGGCCCAGGAGACCCUCUACUCGGUAAUGAUCCUUCCGCAGGUUCACCUACGGAAA
rnacentral:misc_RNA from 1 species